UUACCAGCCCAGGAAUCUGAAGUGCUGUCUUUAUCCACAGAACAGGUGCAGCACACGGAACUUCAGAGCAAGCAUCUAACCCAGGGGUAGGCAACCUAUGGCACGCGAGCUGAUUUUCAGUGGCACUCACACUGUCCGGGUCCUGGUCACCAGUCCGGAGGCUCUGCAUUUUAACUUAAUUUUAAA
rnacentral:sRNA from 1 species